rnacentral:rRNA from 1 species
GACGAACGCUGGCGGCGUGCCUAAUACAUGCAAGUCGAACGCAUUUUCUUUCAACUUAGCUUGCUACACCGAAAGAAAGUGAGUGGCGAACGGGGGAGUAACACGUGUGUAACCUGCCCAUCAGCGGGGGAUAACACUUGGAAACAGGUGCUAAUACCGCAUAAUUCCAUUUACCGCGUGGUAGAUGGGUGGGAGGCGCUGUUGCGUCACUUAUGGAUGUACUCGCGGGGGAUUUGCUAGUUGGUGGGGUAAAGGCCUACCAAGGCUGCGAUGCAUAGCCGAACUGCUAGGGUGGUCAGCCGGCCUGGGACUGUGACCCGGCCCAGUGUGACACAGGAGGCAGCAGUAGGGAAACUUCGGGCAUCGAUGGAAGACUGACCGCGCUACGCCGAGUGAGUGAAGAAGGUUUUCGGGUUGUAAAAGUCGGUUGUUAGGGAAGAACACGGAUGCGAGUGGAAAGUUCAUCCCUUGACGGUAUCUAAUCAGAAAGCCACGGCUAACUACGUG